UACUUUCAAAGGAUAAUAGUAAUCCAAUGGUCUUAGGAGCCAUUCAUCUUGGUGCAAAUCCAAGUGAAAGUAA
rnacentral:tRNA from 1 species